UGAAAUAAUACUUUUUUUUUUUAAAAGAUUCUUCUUUUUUUUUUUUUUACAAGGGUUUUUUUUUUUUUGCUAGAUUGAAUUUCCUAAUGUUUCUUAGUAUUUGGGCUAUGAGAACAAAAGGAAAAAAAGUUCUCUUAAGACCCCUUCUUCUAUGAAAUAAUUUGAGCAGACAAUGGACACAUCGAGGCUACUUUGUGAUGUCAGAGACCUCAGAUCUCCAUCAGAUGAGUCAGGUCAUAGGACAGAAUCUUACUGUCUAGAUGUCGGAAGAAGUGAUUCUAAUCUUCCUUGACUGAUCAGGACAUUACAGUCCUCUCAGGAGAAGCUAUUUUUUUCUGAAAAAAACUUAUUUUCUGAUUGAUUUGUAUCUACUAAGGACUGGAAGCUUCAAGCCAGAAGGAAAUUCUUCUGUAGUGGAAUGGGGAAAAAUCAAAAGAUAUUUUCCAAAGAAGCUCCUCGCCCAGGCCUUUGUUACAAGGCCAAGGUGGUAUGGUUACCAUGUCCACCACACCACGUUUCACCCCUGUUGGAACAAGACUCCUAUGUGAAGGCAGAGCAGGCAUCCCUCAAGCAUCAGGAGAGAACCAUCCAACCGGUGCCCCAUCCCCGCCCUCGGACCGAGCCAGUGCCCUCGCCACAUUUCAAACACCCCAUGAUAGCCGUCCGGCCACCCUGUCCUCCUCCCAGCACGGUCACAAUACCGCUGCCCCAUCUCCACCACCAAAGUACAGUGAAUAAGGCACCCGCUAGUCCCAAGCACCAAGUGGUCACCUCGGCCCUGCCUGUGAGCAGGCCUGACGUCCCCUCUGCCAAGCCUGCCGUGACUUUAGCAUUCAGCAAACAGUGCCCGCCGCUCCGCCCUAUACAUCAGCCUGUGAUUCCACUGGAUGCAAACCAACACACAGAAGCUGCUCCUAACCCUGACCACUUCCCCAAGAUUAUCCCAAGCUCUGUCCCCCUGGCUGAGGAUCCGAGUCAUCUCAAACAUCUGUCGGCGCUGCCAUCAUCUGCUGAGGUGCCACCACGAGAGGUCCACAGGACCAUGUUCAUAGCGGUUCCCCAAGCGGGCCCUAACCACCCCAUCAGGGUCACGAGUGUGCCCGUGAAUCCCGGCCCACAGCCUUUGCCCAAGCCCAGGCGUCGCAUCAGGGCCACAAACGCGCUCUUAGGGUUUUUAAAACUAGAACCUAUGCUUCAUUCUGCUAGCUCAAUAUCCCUUGGUCCAAACCACUGGUCCAGAGAGACAACUGCAAAACCCUCGGGUCUGGAUAAUUGGACCCAACCAAAAAGAUCUUCAUCUUCACAUCCCAACCUCCUUUGCCCUUGGAAGACAGUAUCACUGCUGUACUGCAAUGAGUCCCCCCAAAAAUCAAUGGGGGAGCCGUUAUCACAUCUGAAUCAGAAAACCAGGGCUACCACUGCACCUGCUCCUGUUCAGCUACAGCAGGCUGGGGACAUGGCUGGCCCUAUGGCCCAUGGAUUACUUCAAAUGGAAAAAAAGCCCUGGGAAACAAGUUCAGUGAGAGCCAGCCAGGAUCCAGGGCUGAGACAACUUCCAAUUGACUUACAUUUCCAGGGCAAAACUCUGCAUGUCCCUAACCACCAGGUGGUACCUCCUCCCCAUCCAGUGGGUCCUUUACAACCUAUGGCCCAGGUCCCACUUCAAAUGGAACAAGAUCAUAGGAAGACGAUGCCAUUGAGACCGGAUAACCAGGUUCCCAAUCCCACAGGACAGGAUCACUGGACCAUCCCUCCUUUCCUGGGCAUGGAUGGCCAGAAAACAAUUCUUUUUCUCCCUCAGUACCAGGCCACACCACCUCCCAGCCCUAUCCAUCAGUCGGAGGACAUCCCAGGCUCCAUUGCUUAUACCUUGAAAACGCUGCCACCCAGAAUGCAGCCACAGGCCACAACUAUAACAGGUGCUAGUCAGAAUCUCAGAACAGUACCUUCAAUGGUGUCUUACAAGCACGACAUCAAUCAGCUGGGCGCCGUACCCCAAUUCACAACUUCCCUCAACCCUGACUACCAGGUUGGGAAAGUCAUAAAUCCCAAUGCCCAGCUGAUAUACCAACCAAAUGUAGAAGUAUGGGGAACAAUGACAAAGGGAAUGUAUCACCAGGAUAUGAGUCCCUUUGUGUGGGGUUACGGGGCAAUCCCUCAACCCCAGAACACAAAUAAGACGAUUCCACCUCACUUGGACCACUGGGGCACACCUCUCCAACCUGAAUUUCAGACUAAGACUAUACCUGACCCAAAUGUUCGGUUUACACUUCAAUCAGAACCCAAGCAUCACGGAAGAAGGCAACUAGGAGUAGACCACCAGCCUGCCUUUCUAGCAUGCCGAAAUCAAGGACCAAUUAUGUAUCCCCCAGGUGUAGGUGGCUGGGAAAAAAUUCCACCUGGCCCUAACUAUCAGGAGACGGUGGUCAGCGCUCAUCCUGGGCCUAAGCAACAGCCAGCUAUGGCUAUACCAGAUCCUGCUGCACAAAUCUUGUUUCAGCCUGAACAAGGGCACAGGGGACCAACAAUGCCAAAAAUAAAGAUCCAGACCCCAGAUCUUAAUUUAGUAUCUUCACUGGGCUUAGAUACCCAAAACCCAAAUCUUUGUGUCUCUGAACACCAAGCCAGGCUUGUAGUCAAUAAUCCUCACCAGCCUAAGGAGAUGAUGAAGGAUGCCAAGGUCCAGGUCUCCUUUCAAGAAUUCAAACGAUGUGAAAUACCACCAGUGGGAACCCACCAGCAGACCCCAAAUCCCCCUGAUCACGUCCAUGGGACAACAGUUCCUCUGAACAAUGAUGAGAAGGUAGCGUGUUUUCCUGCCUCUGACCAUUGCAUCCUAUCACCACCUGGCCCUGCCUAUCAGGCUGAGGCUGUUCCAGAGCCUAAUGACCAGGAUGCAUGGCAACAAAAGCUAGAACACAAUGAAACAAUACAGUCAGCAAUGGAGCAGGAAGCCAAGAAUUCCACUGGCAAAGACCAUGGAGCAACACUUGCUCCCUUGAACAAAGAUCAACAAGAAACUAACUGUGAGCUUGAUCACCAGGACACAUCUCGUCUUAAAUCAGACUGUCAAACUGAGGAUACACAAGACCCUAGAGACCAGGAUUCAAUUCAACCAGAACAACACUGGCAAAAAGAACAACCUGGAACAGAUCAGCAGAUCACAAAUCCUCCUGCCCAAGAUUCCACAGAAAAAACUCUGAUUAGGAGCACAGAGAACCAGGAAACAAUUCUCUCAGGCACUGGCCACCCUAGUCCUGACUUUAGGGCUAUAGAUUCAGCAAGCCCUGGCACUAGGGAAUCAGGUAAAACAGAACAGGAAAACAAGGAAAGACCACCACUUGGAAGGGAAUGCAAAGCCACAACUCUUCUAACCCCCGAUUUGGAGGCAACGGUACCUCCCCUGGGCUCUGACGCCCAGGAUAAAACUCUGCUUGACCCUGAAAACCAUGGCUCCCUUGCACCCAGAGCUGAGCCGGAUGUGGAUGCAUCAGGGCCUGUCGCAUCAGAACAAGUUCUCCGGGAAACACUGAAAACAGAUCCACAGGCCACAGGUACAACCAUCUGUGAUCACCAGAUAACACCACCUAUAGUGGGAGCCGACUGUCAGGCCCCCUGUCCUCCCACCACUGGAGCUCACAACCCAAUUCAGAAAGAACUGGAAGAGUGGGAAAGGUCAGAAGAAAUCAGUUCCCAGGAUUCUAUCCUUUUAGAAGUGGGUGUCAUGCAUAUACCUAAAUUAGACUUAGAUCUCCAAGACACAACUCCAUGUCCCCCCGUCUAUGGUCCUGAUGAUCAGGCUACAGAUAGAAUAGAUCCCAUUGCCCCAACAUGGGUUCAGACAGAACAGAAGUCCAGAGAAGUAUCAUCAAUAGCAAUAGAUCAGCAGGCCACGACAGUAACAGGCCAGACUCAGGAGGCAGUCACAUGCCCCCCAGACUUGGAAUCCCAGGACACAGCUCAAUGUGGUCCUAAAUGCCAGAGCCCACUUCCGUGCAGCCUUGACAAGCGGGAGAAGAAUAUAGCCUCUCCCAAUGACUUGUUCUCACUUCAGCCCCCAACCAAUCAAUGCACAGUAGUGUCCCAGGAAACAGACCAGCAGACCACAAUUCUAAUGGACUUGGGAUUCAGGACAUCACCUCCGUUGCUGAUACACCCCCAGGACCCAAUUCUGCUUGAUUCUACCUACCAGACCACACCUUCCUCUGGCCCUGCAGAAGCUUUCUCAGAUCCUGAUCUUCAGAACAUACCUCCACCAGAUCCUGAGUGCUUAGCACAAUGGUCCCCGAGGCAAGAGCGCCAAGUCUCACCCCUAUCCAGUGUUGACCACCAAGUCACCCUUCUGCCCAAUUCAACAAACCAGGCUGAGGCUAUAUUUGAGUCUGUCAAACCCCAGGUCACAAUGUCAACACAGUUAUGUAAUCAGGAUAAAGCUUUAAUAAGCUUCAUUAAACCCAAGACUGUGCUGCCCUCAGGUCCCGGGCUGCUGACUAAACGUCUAAGGGGUCGUGGCCCUCAGGUUGAAAAAUUUGACCCCCAAGUUCAGAUUCACUCAAGACCACAAUACCAGACUCAACCAGUGCUAAACAAAAAGUCUUCUUGUUUAUAUUAUAUCAAGCCAUACACUGUGGAGGGAGGAAUCAUCCCCAACAGAAUAGUUCAGCUCAUCAUCGAUUCUAUCCCUCAGGAAAAAAUAAAAAAUGAUGUCUAUAAACAAAUUCUCCUGCGAAAGAGGAGGAAAUUUUCUCCUCAUGGUUCUAAUGGAUACAGUUCAUCUUACUAUCCUAUCUGUUUGCUUUGUGCCUCCUGGAUUCCAAAUGGCUGUCCCCAUGAGGGAAUGAAAUACCCAUUUGAAGCACAGUUACUGGCCAUACCUACGCCUAUGCCUGGUUUUGAAGAACUCGGGGUGAGAUUUGUGCUCCAAGUGCCCCAGACAACAGAAAGCUCCCCUCUCGAGUUUCCUUAUUCCCGGCAUGGUCUGCAAAGGCACCCUCAUGGCCCACAAAUCUUUUCAACAUCAUCCUACUCUGAUCCUGGGCUCUCUAGAUCUUCCAGACCAAAGUGGCUACACUUCAUUCUUGACAAGGCUCAUCAGCAAGAGGGGAGAAACCAAGAAGCAGAAUUCAUAGGAGAAAUGCCCUUGAAGAGGCACAGCCUCAGAGAAGAGGACACUGGGGAUGGGAGGACAUUUUUUAAAUCUCUGUUGGAAAGAUUUCAGUGGAGGCUGAGAGAUUAAAUUACUAUAUAUUCUAUUUGGAAAGAAUUUAUAUGUUUGAAAUAUGUCUUGAUUUCAUAUCUUGCACAUGUAAUUUUCUGUAGUGAGAAAUACUGAGCCAUUUUUUUCCAGUUCAAGCCAAUUAGGGACUCUUAAAAAAAGUUCUCCCUUCCCUUAUAUACCAUUGUCUGAGAGCCCAAGAGUUCUUUACCUGGAAUCCAUAAACUUGAUUUUUGGGGUUCAUGAUGAAAAAAAAAUGUUAAAUUCUGAUCUGUCGUCCAAUCAGACUGUACUUAAAAUGAAUCUUUCCAUGACUUCAUUAUUUGCCUGCCCUGUACUAUUUAAUAGGAAUUUAAUGAAUGUCUAAUAACUAGCAUUUGUAUAGUAUUUUAAGAGUUGCAAAGUACUUUACAUAGCUUAUUUCAUUGAAUCCUCAGGAUAUAUAUACUAGUACUAUUCCCAUCUUACAGAUGAGUAAACUGAGGCUGACUUAGCUGAUGGUCACCACCUCUAUAAAUAAUAAUCUCUUGAGUUUCCCAGAGCCCUGAGAAUUUAAGUGACUUGC
ensembl:lncRNA